rnacentral:lncRNA from 1 species
AUAAGCUGUACAGUGGUGAACCGUGACCCUAAAACAAAGCAAUGUACAUUUAAACCAGCUAAAUUAAAUUUACAUUUACCAGCUAUUAACCAACAAGCAUUACCUACAAGAUAAACUAUUUUGACGUUUAGUUGCUUAAGGUCAAGUUCACAGCCUUUUACAAAAGGUCGAUAAAGAAUUGUCUUCGAAAAAAAAAAGAUGUGUAUUACAUUGUCACAUCAUGUAGGGCGACGUUGAAAUGAUAAUCAGUUGAGGACCGAAGAAAGCGCCAAACUGUGCAGCGACGCGCGAUGGAACGUUUGCUUUUAUUCUUUCUUGUUCAUCAUGUGAAGUUAUUGCUCGUCCAUAUAGAUAGGAUCACGGCCUGUAACCACAAGUUUCAGAUUUGAGAACGUAAAUGAGUUGUACGUCUUUUUAACUUGGCCGAAUCCUCGCAAAACAGAAAACCUCCCAAGAUACAUGAAAUAGCAGGCCAUGCAGAUGAUGCUCAGAUACAAUAUUGCCACAGCUAGAAGAAAAUAUCGGCAUCCAUAUUUGCUGCAGUGAGCUUCCUCAUUUCCGAUAGACUCAUCAUCAUCUACUUCGUCAUUAACCUCUUCCGUCUCCUCUUCUACUGUCACUGUUUCAUCAUAUUCUUCCAUCACAUGUUUUGCAGAAUCAUCUAGGUCGGCCAUACUUUGAAAACAAACAACUUCAGUAUGUGCGAGAAAGCUGUUUAUACGAAGCCAUGUCUGUACAUGAUCCCUAUAUACAGGGCACACGUCCUAUCUUAGAUGCCAAAUGCAAGCUGGUUCCAAUGCAGUUUCGCAAGAAUACAUACGUAUUGUGCGUAACCGAAUUAAUGACUUACUCAUACUGCCGAAACGUUUCUUUUUAUGAACAUAGUUCAUAUGAAGUGACCGGACUACCAUCGUACUUCGAACAUACGAUGGCCGGCAUUCGUGCCGGACGGUUAUCAGGCCGGCAUCAGUGAUCAAAUUCUCACGACAUUCGACGUGUUCUCCACACAACGUUUUCUCUUAGUUCCACCGUGUAAAAUUAUCUUAAGCAAAUUGAAAUGUUGGAGUCACAUUGUUUAAGAAUAGUAUGUUUCACAGAAACAAGUCUUCUAAAAACUCUUCAAAUUCUUCGUCACGGGAUUUUUCCUCAGUUGACUGUUGGCCCUCUCGCCAAACAUCUGUGCUGUCACUGAGUUCUUGAUUUUUGCUGGAAGGAAUGGAGGUCUCUCCACCGUCAAUCAUGUCACUUCUACUGGUUUCUGGAGUCACCUUCUCAGACCUUGGUUCCCCGCCACUCUUUCUCCGGUCACCUGGUGACAUUUUGCUUUUCAUUUCUUUCUUGCUCUUCUUCUUUUUCGUCACUUCUUUCCUUUUGUGAUGAAAGUUAAGUUUAUGCGAACAAUCGCUGCACAAACCUUUAAUGAUCGACCAGAUUAAUCAAUGAAGGAUUCUCGAAUGAAUUGAAACUAGGGAUCGGCCCUGAUUACCCGAGAACAAGCUUACUACCGGAAGGUACUGGCGCUAAGCUGAAAAAAGCACAUUUUACCUUCUGGUAGUAAGGUGGGUCUCAGGUAAUCGCGGCCGAUCUCUACUUGAAACAACACUCACGGAUUUUGACUAAGGAGUUCUUUCUCAAUUCAUGCUCUACAUAAGCAAAGUUAAUCUCCCAGGUUUUCAAAUUUUCUUUUUCCGUGCAAUUUUGUUCUCCGCAACUGAACUGUCCUUUACCUGUUACAACUUCUUUUUCUAUUCUCCACCGAAUGCCAACCUAAAUAGCAAUAAAAAUUUUUACUUUUCGUAAUAAAUUAUUUUUUUUCUCUUAA